GCCGACUGCACGUAUUUAAAACACGAAGAAAAAGCUGCAGCAGUCUCAGUUGCUUCCUGUCCGUCUCCAUCGCAACAUGUCGCGAGUGAACGGUCACUUUGAAAAUGGCCUUCUAGUCCAGACCUGGCUUGGAUCUUCAAAUAAGGUCAAGCCACUCCUAGACUGGAUUCAACGAGCCACGCACCCAAAACUUGUGACCGUGCACUUCUGACUACUGGGGAGGAGGAAUCAGUGUUUGGGAAGAGGAGCGUAACCUCGCUAACACUGACUUGUCAUGGCUGAUUCACUAGUAAGAAAACAACCUGACGACGUAAUAAAACGACGAACAUGGCUAUUGUUGGUGGAUACAUUUGUCACGCUGGCAUGUUAGUAUCGGUGAACAUUUUAGCCAGCCAGUUUUAACUUACUGCAUCGGAACUCUUUUUUCAAUACAUUUUCACCAGUGCUGUCAUGGUAUGCGUGACAAAUGUGCCCACCAACAAUAGCCAUUUCGUAAGGUUUACUAUGCUAAUGUUUGCGAUCGCUACCCAGAUCCACACGGAUAAUAUUCUGUUUUUGAUCCUAAAAGGGUAGUGAGCGACUGGUAUUUUGUGCGUUACAAUGUUUAUUUCUUUAUGCAGAAUUUAAAUUGUAAAUAAAGAAUCCUGUUCUAUAUAUAUUUUUUAAUAAAACUCUUUAAAAUA